AUGGCUUUGUUGCCCUACCUGACCUUGAGUACAAAGAAAACAAAGGGUCCCGUGUGAACACUGCCGGACUCGACCCUUUCUAGGCUUCCGCAAGUGCUAGGGGCUCUGCUUCUAGGAAUGGUAAGUGAACUUCCCCUACCUUCCCCUGGAGGGCGCCACACAGAGAUGUCUGGAUUUCCGCCGCACAGUGAUGCCACCUGGCAGUCAUGUGACAUCAUAUAAUGUGAGGGGCUUGCUCUUGGAAACAGGCUGUGCUACAACUGAGGUCUCUCCACCAAAAUACUGAUAACCAGCUCAGCUCAGGAUUUAAGGGGAGAGAAUCCUUCUCCCUUAAAUGUGACCACAUGAGCUGCCGGUCCCUUUGGACUCAGGACCCACAGCUGGACAGAUGUCACAUGGUGGAAUAUUGUCUUGGAUAGAAUUUCACAGUACAGGACCUGCUCACACAGAUACCCUAUGCAAGUCUCCAGGAGCCUUACUUGUCCUUUUGAAAUUUAAUAUUCUUAAUCCUUCCCAAUUAGACGGAUACAAUGGAGGGGCAGGGGACAAGAAACUGCAAAUUAGAAUCCAAGGCCAAGCCCCUUCUUCCUCUAGGGAAGAUAAGCUAUCAAGCAUUUGCUUUUAAUGAACACACCUGAGAAAAACCAACUCCCAAAUGGGCAUUGGAAUAGGGUGACAUAAAUAUGGAAUAAGUGGAGGAGCUGACAGGGCAGUGAUUUUCACAAUAAAUUGGAGUAUUCUCUCUGACAAAAGCUGAAAUUCCUAACAAAGAGAUGGUCUUGAUCUCGGGCCAACUUCUGAAGUUUUCUUUUACACUCAACAUUAGUUAAUUUUUCUUUAAUCCAGUGUGUGCUGAAACUGCCGUUCUCUUCCUCCCUCCAAUGUGUGUUACGUUUGACCUUCACAUGAGCUUGUCUGUCUGCAGAGCUGGCCUGGCCCAGAACGUUAUGUUUUUUUUCCCAUAAUCACCGUGUGCUUUCAUCAUAGCUGUUAUCGUUUGUUAAAGCACAGCCAGAUGGACUCUGUGUCCCCAGUCCCUGAGUUAGCUGACCGCCAGGGCAGGGAGGCCAUGUUGCUCCACACUUUUUUGAAGAAGGCCUUACCUUGAUUCCAUAUGUUUCAGAAUUAGCUGUGUCAUCUACAAGAGAAGGCCAAAGGUACACAUUUUACAAAUGAAGGAAGAGGCAACCCCAUGGACUGAAAUGUUCUCUGAAGUAGAAUUGACCGCAAUCAGGCCUGGCAGGCCUGGAGCAGAUCCUGACUGCAGCAGGUGCUGUCGUGGUAAGAGUGAGUCAUCUCCGGAUCUGGUGGUUUAGGAGUGUGUGGCACCUCCCCCUUCUCUUCCUGCUGCUCCAGGCAUGAGAAGUGCUCGCUCCCUCUUUGCCUUCCGCCACGUUUGUAAGUUUCCUGAGGCCUCCGAAGCCGAGCAAAUGCCAGCAUCAUCCUUCCUGUACAAGCCUGCAGAACUAAUGAGUCGCAUGGCUUCACACAGGUGUCAAGGAGCCUGGCAAGCUCCCUGCUGGGAGCCAUUUACCAGCUGCAACUCCACCCUACGGAAGAGAGAGUAGGCAUCUGGGUGGACAAUGAGUUGUUCCUGCCACCAGGAUCUUAUGUUUAUUCACUGCCAUGAUGACCUGAAUUAUUUUGGAUAGAAGACACUUCAGGAUUCAAUAGGAAGGAUCAGUGAGGCAACAGGAGUGGCGGCAGAGAAAGAACCACUAUGAAGUUUAAAGAGACACUUAGAAACAGAAUGGUCAUGAACAACGCCCAGUGAGUCCCAUGAGACUGCUUAUUGAAAACACUGGUUACACUAUGUGUUUCUACCUCUGAAAAAGACAUGCUAGUUUCCCACAGUGGUUGUAAACAUGUCAAUUGCUUUUUUUUUUUUU
rnacentral:lncRNA from 1 species